AGUGAACGCUGGCGGUAGGCCUAACACAUGCAAGUCGAACGGCAGCACAGGAGAGCUUGCUCUCUGGGUGGCGAGUGGCGGACGGGUGAGGAAUACAUCGGAAUCUACUCUGUCGUGGGGGAUAACGUAGGGAAACUUACGCUAAUACCGCAUACGACCUACGGGUGAAAGCAGAGGACCUUCGGGCCUUGCGCGAUUGAAUGAGCCGAUGUCGGAUUAGCUAGCUGGCGGGGUAAAGGCCCACCAAGGCGACGAUCCGUAGCUGGUCUGAGAGGAGGAUCAGCCACACUGGAACUGAGACACGGUCCAGACUCCUACGGGAGGCAGCAGUGGGGAAUAUUUGACAAUGGGCGCAGGCCUGAUCCAGCCAUACCGCGUGGGUGAAGAAGGCCUUCGGGUUGUAAAGCCCUUUUGUUGGGAAAGAAAUCCAGCUGGCUAAUACCCGGUUGGGAUGACGGUACCCAAAGAAUAAGCACCGGCUAACUUCGUGCCAGCCGCCGCGGUAA
rnacentral:rRNA from 1 species